ACCCAGGGACUUGUGCAUGCAAGGCAAGCACUCUACCAACUGAGCUAUAUCCCCAGCCGCGACUGCUUGGUUUCUAAAUUAGAGAGUGCGCGUGUGUGUCUGUCUGUCUUCCAUACCAUCCACUAUCUGUCAGUCUAGAUAUCGAUCCAUCCAUGCAUGUCUAUAUCCACCUGCUCUGUCUUCCACAGCCGCCGACCCAUGUGAAGCCCUCAGUCUCUGGUUGAAUCUAGGCCUGCAUCUGUCUCUGAUCUCGGUCUCCUGUAUCUGCAUCUGUCUACUUUACCACUCCUGUCAUCCUGCCAUCUCUCUGUAUGCAUCUCUGUUUCCCUCUACAGUACUCCCCUCUCAUCCACAGGUUCACUCUCUGUGGUUUCAGUUACUUGUGGUCAACUGUGGGUUAAAGAUAGUAGGUGAAAAAUUCCUAAGUUUUUAGCUGCACACCAGCCUAUGUAGUGUGAUGAGCUCCCAUGGCAUGCCCCUGUGCCCUCCUAGGAGAUGAAGCAUCCUGUGGAACAUCUGUGCAUCUAGGUCUCGUCCCCAUCCAGCUGCCAUCUGCCUAUCAUCUGUAUCCACCCAUCUAGGUAUUGUCUUCAUUCACCCAUCUAUCAUCUGUCUAACUCUGCCAUCUUUUUGUCUGUCAAUCUACCUACCUACCUGUCAUCCGACUAUUACCGCUCUCAGCCCAGUUGCCCCAUGUUAUGGUUUAGAUGUGGUGUCCCCCAGAAGCUCAAGUGUCAGACAAUGCAAGAAGUAUUGGAAGAGAAAUGUUUGGGUUAUGGCCUUAGACUAAUCAGUGAAAUGAUCUCUAAUGGGAUUAACUGACAUGGUAGGGUGUGGCUGGAAGAGGUGGGAAUUGGGGUGUGGCUUUGGGGUAUCUAUUUGUAUCUGACAAGUGGAGACCUCUCUCUGCUUUCUGAUCAUUGUGAGGUGAGCUGCUUCUCUCUGCCACACUCCUCCCCCAUGAUGUCCUGCCUCACCUGCAGCUCGGAGGAAUGGAGCUGGCCUUCCAUGGACUGUGAGCCCAGCCCUCAAAUAAACUCUUCCUCCCCUAUGGAUGUGUUGGUCAGGUCUUUAAGUCACAACAGUGAAAAA
rnacentral:lncRNA from 1 species